GAGAGAGUAUCGUAGAAUCUGGAUUGAAUUUUAAAUUAAUUUUAAAAUAAAGAAUAAAUGCAGGAAACGUCUGAUCAUAUUAGAAUGAAUCGACGAAACUUGUUAUUGAUAUCGUGAUUACUUUGGCCAGUUUAUUCGCCCGAAACAUCCUGAUUUCUGACACUACUUUCAAGAUCGAAUAACAAACAGGAAGACCAUCGUCGGGGGAUUUUUCGCGAAGCUCGCGCUAUCGAUGACAACCGCGAUUAUCAACGCUCCCUGACAAGAGGCAGACACAAACCAGGUAUAACAGCUAGUCGAGCUUUUCUUCUAGACACGACUAUGCGACAGCUACGUCUAACCUCAUUUUCCGCCACUGUCAACGGUACGACGUAUCUUAGGAGUCGUUACCCCAGUGUUCGAAAAAAACCCGAAGCAACAGCAUCAUCAUCAUCGUUAAGAACGGAAAAGGAGAGGAAUGCGAUAGAGAUGCGGAGAGUAUAUGAUGAAAAAGAACUUCUAAAUUAGCGUGCAAAUAAUACGUCUUGUCAUGCGUUUCCUUCGUCUGUCAACAGAGACGUGCAACGCGAAUAAAGACGUAGCCGCAGACGUAGCGGGACGGAGGACGAGCGUCACGUGAUCAGCGUCGUAAAAGUACAAUCGCCGAGAGAUGGCGCCACUGAUGGAUCAAGCGAGGCUGGCAUCGUAGCAUCGAAGGCAAAUUGUCCGAUAUGAGGCCGAGGGAAUAAGAUACCAACGUCGAUUUCAUCAUUGCGGUUCGCUAUUCACUAACAUUGGCGGUUUAUUAAGCGCAGCUCGCGGUCCGAGUAUGUUUUGAGGGUGGUACAGCUACGACCAGUAACACACAGCCAUUGUAUUUACCUGGAGAGAGAGAGAGAGAGAGAAAGAUAGAGAUAGCCCCUUACAAGGUAAUAAUCAAAAUGGCGUCCCAUGAAAGCUGUGAAGAUCCUGUGAAAUCUCGUGCUGCAAAUAAAAUAGAUACAACUGUGCAGUCAAAAGCUGAUGAGAAAGAAUCAUCAAUUGUUUCGACAGUCAAUCAGCAGAAUGAACCGAACAAUAGCAUCGAUACAGAGGAGAAGAAAAGCUUAACCUUGGAUACAAGCAAUAAAUGUGCAGAUACGCAAAAAAAGGAUGCUGAUAAUGUAGAAAGCGAAAACAAACAUGAUUCAAACUCACAAGUAACUGUAAAGAAAGAAUUGGAUGAUAAUGAAGCAGAUAAGAAGCAAGAGACACAAAAUAUGGAUAAAAAGCAGAUGUCAAAUGCAGAUUCUCAAAAGAUGGAUGAAGAGAAGGAUAUUAAAAUUGAAGAUGACAAAGACUCUGUGGCAAAAGUGGGAUCUGCCUUAAAACGAAAACGAAAGGCUUUAAGCAAUUCAACAGCAAUGGAAUCUUCUGCGGAGGAGAACAACACUAGGAGCAAGAGAAAGAAACUAAAGAAUACAAGUGAUCAAUUCUGCUGGCGAUGUCAUAAAGAAAACGUCGAUGCUCAUUGCACCGCAUGUCCUCGCUCAUGGCAUCGAAAAUGUAUAGGUGGCAUGCCAUCUUCCUUGGAGAAAUGGAUAUGUGCGGAAUGUGCAACCAUUUUGAAAGCUGAAAAUGCCGAGACGCGUUCCACGGCCAUGGCGCAAUUAUCUGUGGAUCAGUUGUGCAUGUUACUGAAGCACGUGGUCGAGAGAUUGCGCGACUAUCCUGGCUCGGAACCAUUCUCCAAACCAGUAGACAUCACAGAAGUACCAAACUAUCUGGAUUAUGUUGUUAAGCCAAUGGAUUUGAGCCUUUUGGAAUCGAAUGUGCGAUCCAAGCUUUAUGGCAGCACUGACGCAUUUAUGGCUGACGCGAAAUGGAUCCAACAUAAUUGCAUCGUGUUUAACACCUAUAAAUUAUGCCGCUAUCUGGUAGGUGGUGGUGUUUAUGCGGACACAUUGAAGCUGACAAACGCGGCGAAGCAAAUGAUCAAAGUGGCGCGUCAGGAAGUCUCGGAGAUCGAGGCCUGUCCCGAUUGUUACGCGCAUGGGAGAAACUUGCCGAGACCUCAACCGUCCUGGUUUAUCGAGCCUUGCCGUCGACCGCAUCCGCUGGUAUGGGCCAAACUGAAGGGUUUCCCGUUCUGGCCCGCGAAAGCGAUGCCACGCGUCAACUCCCAGGGAUUUGUGGACGUGCGUUUCUUCGGUGAGCACGAUCGCGCCUGGGUGCCGCCAAAAGAUCUUUAUCUAUACUCCGAAGAGCCGCCCGCGCCGUCUCCACGUAAACGAAAGUCCGACAUGGAUGAAUGCGUGCGAGAAAUCACUCGACAUUGUAGAAAACUCGCGCUUAUGUACGGUCAAUUCAAAUUUGCGCCACCCAAAGUGCAGUACAAUCCGAAUGACCCGAUGCAGAUAAAGUUGAUGCUGCCGAAUUACAAUCCGCUUGAACCUAACAAUUAUUUUCCCAAUUCCGAGCUCUCUGUGACUUCAAAGAAAAAGACACCUGUAAGAAGACGGAACCUGCCGAUUAAAGAGAAAUCGCAGAACGACGAGUCAAUUGAUAAUGGCGAAACAAACGAUAAUUCGAAAGAAUCUGUAAACGGUGAUAAACGUGAAAAGACGAGCGAAGUUACGCCAAAAGUACAAAAAAAAUCAGAUAUCGUUGAUGUUAAGAAUAUUUCAAAUUCGCAGACAAAUAUAGACGAUGAUAGUAAAUUAAAAAAGAAAAUUCAAGUUGAACCAGUUGCUCAAAAUAAAAUGGUAAAAAAUGAGAAGUCGAAAAAUGCAAAAACAUUACUAUCUCGAUUGAAUACUUUGGUUGCAAAUAAUGCCGCUGAAAGUAGCAGUGCGACAACUUCUAAUGUCAAUAAACAUAUCUCGGAGAAAAAUAAUUUGCUAAAAUCGAAAGACGAAUCAAAAUCGUCCACGGAGAAUUCGCCUAAGCCUGCGACACCGCCAACCAAUGAAUUAUCCAACACGAUGCGUACGCAAAAGAGAAGUCUUUUGAAAAAUCUCAUCAAUCCCAAAUUAGCGCUUUCGCAAACGGAAAAUGCGUCGAAGAGCAUCGCGAAGAGCAGUAAAGUAUACAAACCGAAAACAAGAAUAGUCGACAAAUUGAAUGCAGAGAAAGCGUUGAAGUCUAUUUUUGCGAGCAAGGAAAACGAGAAACUGUCGUCACCGAAUUCGCCGAGCGCAAUGAUAAUGAACAAGACAUCUCUAAACAACAAAGAAUUGCCGGCUGUUCAAAAGAUACCCGAAAUCGAUAUAACACUGUCACCAACUUCAAGCGCAAAGAUUACUCAUCCUAUUUCGUCAUCAUCAUCGACAAAUAUACUAAAUCCCGUAGCGGAUAAAUCCGUUGUGCUAUUUGUAGUGAAUAACGGAAAAACAGAAGCUGCGAAACAAACUUCGUCGACAGUCGACUAUCAAGGCAAUAAGGAUGUGACGAAAGAGCACAACUCGCUUUUAAAGAAGGAGAGCAAAGCUAAAAAGUCCUUUCCUAGUAAAUCACGUAAUUCACAAAACACGACUUCACGCCCGUUGUUCAAUACAGAUGAAUUUAUCCAGGUUUCCCCGAAUAAACAAGAAACAUCCACCUCUUAUCAAUUAUUGCCUCCACAGGCUGGACCGAUCAGCGCACGUUUACAUCAAAAUGCAAACGAGCUCGCGAAAAGAAUGGCUCAAUUGAUGGAAGAGACUUAUAAAGAAGCGGCUCAGACCUAUAUUAACGGUGAAAACGGCACUGUCGAAAAUUGUCAGGAGAUAUUCUUCUUGAAGAUGCAAAUGGAACAUAUGAAGUGGAAGCAUCAACAACAGCUGGCCGAAUUGAAACACAACACUGAUCGUACCAUGCGCGAGAUGCGUGCAAGUCUAGAGGCAGAGAAGUUACGAUCGCUCGAGGAAGCUCGCAAAGAGGCCGAAGAGGAAAAGCUUCGAUGUAUCGAAGAGACCAAACGAAAGCAGUGGUGCGCUAAAUGUGGACGGGAAGCGUUGUUUUAUUGUUGUUGGAACACAGCUUAUUGCGAUUAUCCGUGUCAACAGUCACAUUGGCCGAUUCAUAUGGAAACAUGUUCCCAGCAGCCCACGUAUACCCUCCAAUCCGCCAGUUCGGAUGCAAAUUCGAGCGCACAGCAGGUGAUGCCCAAACUCGUGUUAAACGCACAUCAAGCGACCUGGAGCGUACGGAGAGCCUAGAAUGGAUUGGUGUAAGUCCCGGCGAUUCAAACAGGAAGUUCGAUAACUCGAAAAUACCAACAGUAAGACCAUGACGAACGACCCUGCGGGCAGGGUGUUUACUUUAUCACCCAGCAAAUUGAGCGGGAUUCCGUCAUCGUGGCCUGUUUCGUCCCUUAAAAAUGAAACUAAUCCGGAUAUACUCUAGGCAAAUCGCGAUUUACUUGUAAUCGAUAACCGACUUGAUAGUAAUUGUAGAGAAGAAAGUUUUGGUUUUACAUUACAGUUAAAUAGACAAUGUUGUAAUGUUGCGAACACCAGCAAAUUUUGAUACAAAACUUACAUUAAAAUGUUUAUUCUUUAUA